GCCCCGUUAGCUCAGUUUGGGAGAGCAGCUGGCUCUUAACCAGCGGGUCGUAGGUUCGAGCCCUACACGGGGCA
rnacentral:tRNA from 1 species